GGUCAAAAGGCCAUGCGUUUUAUGCUUGCAUGGAAAAGCAUGACCUUGGGACCCGCAAAACAUGAGAAAGGAGCCCGAGUAGGGCGGAUUUCGAAUGUUUUUAGGAUUGCACAUUAUUAAUAUUAAUUAAGGAGGCAAAUA
rnacentral:sRNA from 1 species